CCUAUUGUAACCCUCUGUUUUAUUGUCCUCUGACUUGAUCUUAAAAUGUAUGCCUCUGUUGUAUGGGCGGGCUCCCAACUUCAAUACUUGAAAAUUAAUGCUGAAUGUAUUCCUCUGUUAUAUGGGCGGGCUCCCAACUUCAACACUUGAAAUGAAAAGACUGAAUGUAUGCCUCUGUUCUAUGGGCGGGCUCCCAAUCUUCAACCCUUGAAAUGUAAAGACUGAAAUGCAUGCCUCUGUUAUCUAGGCGGGCUCCCAACUUCAACACUUGAAAUGAAAAGACUGAAAUGUAUGCCUCUGUUAUCUGGGCGUGCUCCCAACUUCAAUGCUUGGAAUAAAAAGACUGAAAUGUAUGCCUCUGUUAUCUGGGCAGGAUCC
rnacentral:lncRNA from 1 species